UACGGAGGGUGCAAGCGUUAAUCGGAAUUACUGGGCGUAAAGCGCACGCAGGUGGCUGAGUCAGUCGAUUGUGAAAGCCCUGGGCUUAACCUGGGAAUUGCAGUCGAUACUACUCAGCUAGAGUAUGGGAGAGGGUAGUGGAAUUCCCGGUGUAGCGGUGAAAUGCCUAGAUAUCUGGAGGAACACCGGUGGCGAAGGCGGCAUCCUGGACCAACACUGACGCUGAGGAGCGAAAGCCAGGGGAGCAAACGGG
rnacentral:rRNA from 1 species